rnacentral:rRNA from 1 species
AUUGAACGCUGGCGGCAGGCCUAACACAUGCAAGUCGAGCGGAUGAAGGGAGCUUGCUCCUGGAUUCAGCGGCGGACGGGUGAGUAAUGCCUAGGAAUCUGCCUGGUAGUGGGGGAGAACGUCCGGAAACGGGCGCUAAUACCGCAUACGAUCUGAGGGAGAAAGUGGGGGAUCUUCGGACCUCACGCUAUCAGAUGAGCCUAGGUCGGAUUAGCUAGUUGGUGGGGUAAAGGCCUACGAAGGCGACGAUCCGUAACUGGUCUGAGAGGAUGAGCAGUCACACUGGAACUGAGACACGGUCCAGACUCCUACGGGAGGCAGCAGUGGGGAAUAUUGGACAAUGGGCGAAAGCCUGAUCCAGCCAUGCCGCGUGUGUGAAGAAGGUCUUCGGAUUGUAAAGCACUUUAAGUUGGGAGGAAGGGCAGUAAGUUAAUACCUUGCUGUUUUGACGUUACCAACAGAAUAAGCACCGGCUAACUUCGUG